UACGUAGGGCGCAAGCGUUGUCCGGAAUCAUUGGGCGUAAAGAGCGUGUAGGCGGCCCGAUAAGUCCGCUGUGAAAGUCCAGGGCUCAACCCUGGGAUGCCGGUGGAUACUGUCGGGCUCGAGUCCGGAAGAGGAGUGUGGAAUUCCUGGUGUAGCGGUGAAAUGCGCAGAUAUCAGGAGGAACACCAAUGGCGAAGGCAGCACUCUGGGACGUGACUGACGCUGAGACGCGAAAGCGUGGGGAGCAAACAGG
rnacentral:rRNA from 1 species